rnacentral:rRNA from 11 species
UCCGUCGAAAGGGAAUCGGGUUAAUAUUCCCGAGCCAGCGCGUGGAUGGUGGGCGGCGACGCGAACGAACCCGGAGACGCCGGCGGGAGCCCUGGGAAGAGUUCUCUUUUCUUCUUAACUGCCUCUUGCCCUGGAAUCGGUUCGGCCGGAGGUAGGGCUACACGGCAGGCAAAGCACCCUAAGUCUUGGGGUGUCCGGCGCGCUCCCGACGGCCCGUGAAAAUCCGGGGGAGCGGUUCGUUCUCACGCCUGGUCGUACUCAUAACCGCAUCAGGUCUCCAAGGUGA